rnacentral:rRNA from 1 species
CCUACGGGAGGCAGCAGUAGGGAAUCUUCCGCAAUGGACGAAAGUCUGACGGAGCAACGCCGCGUGAACGAUGAAGGCCUUCGGGUCGUAAAGUUCUGUUGUUAGGGAAGAACAAGUGUUAGUUGAAUAAGCUGGCACCUUGACGGUACCUAACCAGAAAGCCACGGCUAACUACGUGCCAGCAGCCGCGGUAAUACGUAGGUGGCAAGCGUUGUCCGGAAUUAUUGGGCGUAAAGCGCGCGCAGGCGGUUUCUUAAGUCUGAUGUGAAAGCCCCCGGCUCAACCGGGGAGGGUCAUUGGAAACUGGGAAACUUGAGUGCAGAAGAGGAAAGUGGAAUUCCAAGUGUAGCGGUGAAAUGCGUAGAGAUUUGGAGGAACACCAGUGGCGAAGGCGACUUUCUGGUCUGUAACUGACGCUGAGGCGCGAAAGCGUGGGGAGCAAACAGGAUUAGAUACCCUGGUAGUCCACGCUGUAAACGAUGAGUGCUAAGUGUUAGAGGGUUUCCGCCCUUUAGUGCUGAAGUUAACGCAUUAAGCACUCCGCCUGGGGAGUACGGUCGCAAGACUGAAACUUAAAUGAAUUGACGGCUGAGACGNGCGAGACGACGACGAGGGAGAG